rnacentral:rRNA from 1 species
GAUGAACGCUGGCGGCGUGCCUAAUACAUGCAAGUCGAGCGAACAGACGAGGAGCUUGCUCCUCUGACGUUAGCGACGGACGGGUGAGUAACACGUGGAUAACCUACCUAUAAGACUGGGAUAACUUCGGGAAACCGGAGCUAAUACCGGAUAAUAUAUUGAACCGCAUGGUUCAAUAGUGAAAGACGGUUUUGCUGUCACUUUUAGAUGGAUCCGCGCCGCAUUAGCUAGUUGGUAAGGUAACGGCUUACCAAGGCAACGAUGCGUAGCCGACCUGAGAGGGUGAACGGCCACACUGGAACUGAGACACGGUCCUGACUCCUACGGGAGGCAGCAGUAGGGAAUCUUCCGCAAUGGGCGAAAGCCUGACGGAGCAACGCCGCGUGAGGGAUGAAGGUCUUCGGAUCGUAAAACUCUGUUAUUAGGGAAGAACAAAUGUGUAAGUAACUAUGCACGUCUUGACGGUACCGAAACAGAAAGCCACGGCUAACUACGUG